rnacentral:lncRNA from 1 species
AUGAGAUUUUAUGAAGUGUUAUGUCGUGUGAUCUUUUGGAUCACUUGCCUCCUUAUUAUGUCACUUUGAUCAUUUGCUCAUCUUCUUUAUCAAGAAGUUAUUUUGAAACCGAUUUGUCUAUACGUUUUAAGCGUAUCCAAGACGUUGUCCUUCUAGGACUUAAUAUGAGCAUUUGCAGUGAGAAUAUAGUUACUUUCUUUGGGUGUAGCAUGCUUUGCAAUAUGUUGCAAUUGAA